rnacentral:lncRNA from 1 species
GCUCAAGGGUUUAGGGUAUACUAUGAAAAUUUUUAUGGUCUCUUACUGGACAAAAGCUAGUCCUAAAUUUUUCAGGGGGAGAUAUUCAUCAAGGGGAGCAUGGUUUUAAUAAAGACCUCCAUACACUGUACUCUUUUUCCUUCAUCCAGGUUUUUAUCCCACUGGGUUUUUCCUGGUAAGGUUUUAACGAGGCAGUGUCGCUCAAGAUUGACUCACAGCAGCAGUGUCAACUACGAUAUUCAGAAAGCUGAUCAACAGUAUGACUUAAAGAUAUUUUGCCAAGCAUCAGGGGGAGCGCACUAUCAAUCAAGAUCUUCAAACACUGUACUCUUUUUCCUUCGUCCAGGUUUUUAUCCCACUGGGUUUUUCCUGGCAAGGUUUUAACGAGGCAGUGUCGCACGCGCGUCAAUAUACAUAGAAUUUUAUAUUACACAUGAUUAUGUACUCUUUUUCUCUUUGACCAGUUUUUGUCCCACUGAUUUUUUUUUACUGGCAAGGUUUCUAACGAGACAUAUUCUGUAUCAUUUGUGGUCUCCAAGGGGGAGUGUUGUAAAAGUGGAGUCCCCAAAAUGCCCCCCUAAAUGCCUAUAAAUAGGGCUUCCCUUACUUGUAAGAACACACAUUCAGAACACUUAUUAGAAUGUGAAAUCAGUUUCCAUUCCCUUCUCUGUCUCCCAAUUUCCUCUCCAUAAUCUCUUAGUUUUACAACACUCAUUCUUUUUUCUUCUUUUUUUAU